AUAGAAUGUAUGUUCUAUGUUUCAAGUUGUUAAUUUGCUUUUAGUUUUAAAACCUCUGUGGGCUUACUCCCUAAUUUGUUUCUAAUGUCUCGAUACUCUCUGGGAGAUGGUGGAAGAAAGCUUUGUACUUAAAACACAAUUAAUCAUUGACCUAGUAGUCGUAAUGCUUCAUAUAUCCUCCCUUCUUCUACUCAUAUGAAUCAUACACAAUCUGUUCUCA